rnacentral:rRNA from 1 species
UACAGAGGUCCCAAGCGUUGUUCGGAUUCACUGGGCGUAAAGGGUGCGUAGGCGGGCAGGUAAGUCAGUGGUGAAAUCUCCGAGCUUAACUCGGAAACUGCCAUUGAUACUAUUUGUCUUGAAUAUUGUGGAGGUAAGCGGAAUAUGUCAUGUAGCGGUGAAAUGCUUAGAUAUGACAUAGAACACCAAUUGCGAAGGCAGCUUACUACACAAUGAUUGACGCUGAGGCACGAAAGCGUGGGGAUCAAACAGG